UAGACACGGACCAGACUCCUACGGGAGGCAGCAGUGAGGAAUAUUGGUCAAUGGGCGAGAGCCUGAACCAGCCAAGUCGCGUGAAGGAUGACUGUCCUAAGGAUUGUAAACUUCUUUUAUACGGGAAUAACGGGCGAUACGUGUAUUGCUGUGAAUGUACCGUAAGAAUAAGCAUCGGCUAACUCCGUGCCAGCAGCCGCGGUAAUACGGAGGAUGCGAGCGUUAUCCGGAUUUAUUGGGUUUAAAGGGUGCGUAGGUUGUUCGGUAAGUCAGCGGUGAAAACUGAGCGCUCAACGUUCAGCGUGCCGUUGAAACUGCCGGGCUUGAGUUCAGAGGCGGCAGGCGGAAUUCGUGGUGUAGCGGUGAAAUGCAUAGAUAUCACGAGGAACUCCGAUUGCGAAGGCAGCUUGCCAUACUGCGACUGACACUGAAGCACGAAGGCGUGGGUAUCAAACAGGAUUAGAUACCCUGGUAGUCCACGCAGUAAACGAUGAUUACUAGGAGUUUGCGAUAUACCGUCAAGCUUCCACAGCGAAAGCGUUAAGUAAUCCACCUGGGGAGUACGCCGGCAACGGUGAAACUCAAAGGAAUUGACGGGGGCCCGCACAAGCGGAGGAACAUGUGGUUUAAUUCGAUGAUACGCGAGGAACCUUACCCGGGAUUGAAAUGUAGACGACGGAUGGUGAAAGCCGUCUUCCCUUCGGGGCGUCUAUGUAGGUGCUGCAUGGUUGUCGUCAGCUCGUGCCGUGAGGUGUCGGCUUAAGUGCCAUAACGAGCGCAACCCACAUCGGUAGUUGCUAACAGGUUUAGCUGAGGACUCUACCGAGACUGCCGUCGUAAGGCGUGAGGAAGGUGUGGAUGACGUCAAAUCAGCACGGCCCUUACAUCCGGGGCGACACACGUGUUACAAUGGGAGGGACAAAGGGCAGCUACCGGGCGACCGGAUGCGAAUCUCGAAACCCUUCCCCAGUUCGGAUCGGAGUCUGCAACUCGACUCCGUGAAGCUGGAUUCGCUAGUAAUCGCGCAUCAGCCAUGGCGCGGUGAAUACGUUCCCGGGCCUUGUACACACCGCCCGUCAAGCCAUGGGAGUCGGGGGUACCUGAAGGGCGUAACCGCAAGGG
rnacentral:rRNA from 1 species